CACGUUAGCAUAAUUUUGAAUUCUGUGUCUCAGUAGACAUAGAAACCUAACAUUAAUUUCAGUAGCAAGUUCUGCCAGCAAGGGUGUUUGUUUCAUUAGUUGCCUUUUUUUUAACUGCCCCUCACCCUAGCAAACAGGUUUUUUUGGCUGCAGCAUUCAUCCCAGUGGGCUGUUUCCUCGAGCAGUGUUCAUUCAAGUGAAGUUGGCUUCUCCUCGGUUAUCCGUGAUGUGUUGUAACAAAAGCGUUGGUCUUUGAAAUACCAGAGCUAAGUAAUGAGGAUAGGGAGCUAUAUUUGACAAAGCCUCUCUAUUUUUGUCAUUACGUUUUUGUUUUCCAGUGUGGAGAUAAUUUUUCUCUCCACCAAUUGGAUUUCUUCUUUGGUAAGAAAGAAGAGAAUUCUGUCAUCCCUGCUGGGUUUUGUUUUCAGUUUUCUGCUGCUGUGAUACAGAGCAGCUACAUAAGGAAGCUUUUCAGCAGACAAGCCUGAGGUGUUGAACCAGUGCCACGGGGAAUGAAUUCUUCAAUAGAUCUCUGGUCUUCUUUCUCAAAAUUACAGCGUGGGGGACUUAACAGAAAACCGUCUGUGUAUGAAUGGCACCUCCAUGUUGCAGCUGUCUGUUCCCUGGUAACUCCCCGGCUGCUCUGCAGGCUCCACUUUGAUUGUGCUGAGCCGCCUAGUCCAGUCAGCUGGACUGGACAACCACAGGGUUAACUGGAUUCUCAUCAUAAGACCUUUAUUCCUGAUGGUGCUGUUACCAAAAAUGACGUGGCUCUUAAAGAAGUAGUUUGCAAAGCUGGCAAUUAGAUUGCUAAUAUCCAAACAUGUGUCAAGGCUAAGUGGAAAGGUGGAUCUUACAUAGCCUGAAAAUCGUUAGACUAUCCUGGCCUCCUGAAAUAUAGAUGUCCCUUCAACCAAAUUCCAGACAGGAGUCAGCAUCUCGGUCAAACAGUCUGUGGAUUUUCGUCUCCCUAAGUGAUUCUGUUACGCAGUGGAGUUUGAGAAUCACUCACUUGGAUGACCUUUUAGGUUCCUUUUGACCUUGACAUUUUUCAAGUGUCACACGCCUUCCUCCUGGUUGAGACUGUUUCCAUUCUGUCACUAAGCAGAGAUCAACUCCAGGCAAGUGAUCAGGAGUGUUGAGUGGGAAAGCAGCGUGAGUUAAGAGUCACAGUUCCCCGCUUUGAGAUCAGACUCUUACACCAGUUGCAGGACAAUGAAGGGGUCCCCAUAGCUCUUUUAAGACUCAGUCUUCUAGCAUGAAAAAUGUAAGGAUGGCGGGCGGCGCCUGUGGCUCAGUGAGUAGGGCGCCGGCCCCAUAUGCCAAGGGUGGCGGGUUCAAACCCAGCCCCGGC